ensembl:rRNA 5S_rRNA 5S ribosomal RNA
GUCUGUGGAGCGGUCAAAGUAAGAAUUCGUGCUAGCCUGAUCUCGUCAAAAGCUAAGUAAGACUGGGCCUGGUUAGUACUUGAAUGGGAGAUCGCUGGGAAUACCAGGUGCCACAGUGA